rnacentral:lncRNA from 1 species
AUUUUAUUGUAUAAAUGAUCAUGGGGAAUGAUUCCAGAUAUUUUAAAGAUUAAACAUGUCAGGAAUAACCAUUAUACAUCAAUGGUGGAGAAAUGUAAGAAGCCAUGUUCCAAUAUUUCUUUAAUGUUUUUUUUUUUGGAUAAAAACUGCAUUAUACCUCAUUAUAUGACAAAUAAUAAAUUUUAGACAACACAAGACAAAUACUUUAUUAAAGUCGCACUACUUGUUACAUAUAAAAUAUACAGCUUUUUAAAACACAAGUUUACAACAAGAGCCACUCUAUAAAGAGUUAUGCGAGACUUUAAAAGAGGGGAGAAAGAUACCAGAGGGACAAUCAAACUCAUAGAUAAAAAAUAAACGGAGAACGCCAUAGCUAAAAAAAAAAAGACAGACAAAUAAUAGUACACAAGACAACAACAUAGAAAACUAAAGACUAAUCAACACAAACCCC